UCUCUGUUAGUAUAUCGGUUAGUACACGCGCCUGUCAUACCAGGUCUCUAUUAGAUUUCACCGCGCGAAAGCGGGGUUCGACUCCCCGACAGAGAG